rnacentral:misc_RNA from 1 species
GCGGAUAUGGCCCUCACGGGUCUAAUCCACCCAUAAACACCUUGUGAACACAGUCAGGGGGACUCAGGCCGUGAAAGCCCAGGCGAUUAGCGGAAGGGCCCUCCUUUGCAAACCCGUUUAGAAGUCUUGAAGUACUUUUGUAUAAUCUAGUA